CACGCGGCUAAACUCUUCAACAUGCAGUCGAGCGAAUGGAUUAAGAGCUUGCUCUUAUGAAGUUAGCGGCGGACGGGUGAGUAACACGUGGGUAACCUGCCCAUAAGACUGGGAUAACUCCGGGAAACCGGGGCUAAUACCGGAUAACAUUUUGAACCGCAUGGUUCGAAAUUGAAAGGCGGCUUCGGCUGUCACUUAUGGAUGGACCCGCGUCGCAUUAGCUAGUUGGUGAGGUAACGGCUCACCAAGGCAACGAUGCGUAGCCGACCUGAGAGGGUGAUCGGCCACACUGGGACUGAGACACGGCCCAGACUCCUACGGGAGGCAGCAGUAGGGAAUCUUCCGCAAUGGACGAAAGUCUGACGGAGCAACGCCGCGUGAGUGAUGAAGGCUUUCGGGUCGUAAAACUCUGUUGUUAGGGAAGAACAAGUGCUAGUUGAAUAAGCUGGCACCUUUGACGGUACCUAACCGGAAGGC
rnacentral:rRNA from 1 species